rnacentral:tRNA from 1 species
GCCCCGAUGGUGGAAUGGCAGACACACAGGUCUCAGAAGUCGGGGCCAGCAAAUGGCAUGCAAGUUCAAGUCUUGCUCGGGGUACCA